AGAUGCCCUACCCGGUUCGACUUCCGUACCCCUCCACCUCGCCCCAUCUCUUCGCGACCUUCCCUCUUUGCGGCCCCGAAUCCAUCGACGGAGUCUUAGCUUCGCCUCCUAGAGGAAGGAAGAGAGGAGAAGGGGAGGCUCGCUUCUAAUUUUCUCGGAUUCAAAGCGUUGGUCGAAGCCGGCGGCACAAUCUUUUCAUGGCCUUAAUUCGCUUUUCUUUUUAUCGCUUUUUCAGAAUUUUCUUUUUUGUUGGAUUUUUGUUAGAUUCGGUGAUGUCUUUUUGAGAGAAUCUAGAUUUUGGCAAUCUCGUGCGCAAAGAUGAUUCUUCCCAGUGUUUUGCUACGGUGCUUUUUUACAAUAUUUUAAAAAUGGUUGGGAGGAAUCUCAACCGUCCAAUAUAUUACGAUAUUUAAGGUAUUUUGCUUUAUGAAAAACAUGGCAUGUUCGCUAAGAUAUAUUAAGCCCCUUCUUUUGUAAUGAUGGUGUUUAAUAAAUACAUUUGAGAUUAGUCUUGACUGGUUUUGACAUGGUUAAAGGAAAUCAAGCGAUCCAAAAAUAUUUAACAGGCAUCUCCGCAUGAAAUAUUAUGAGGCUCAUGUGGCACCUUCCAUUUUGUAGUUCUUCUUUAGAUAAUGUCGUGUCAGGGGGCUUCUGUUGCUUUUUUUUACUCUCUCUCAAUACAUGGCAUAGCGACAAUAACAUAUCAUGUAAAUGUAUGCAUUAUCAUAUCAAGUAAGAUUCUUCUAUAUAUAGUUCUUCUAUACAGUUUAGUAUAUACCCUUUAGUUUGUGCAUGGUAGCUAUUGGUUUGAAGCAAUUAAUGAAGUAAAAUUCUUUUAUUCAGUUUUAUAUGACGAGUUGAGUUGAAUGAAUUGUAGCAUGUGUUUUUUAACUGGGGUUGUAAUGAAGGAUGGUAUUCUUGCUUGUGGGAUGUAGUUAUUCUGAGGUCAAGAGGCUUCCAGUUAAGUCUGGGAUUGACCUUGCAUUAAGGAGAAUAGGAAAACAUUGUUCGAUUGAGAGGAUCAAUCAGUGUCUCACCACCAACCCUUAUUUUUAUUUAUUUAUUUAUUUAUUUUUGAUGGUUGGAUUACACUUAUAUUAUGAGGCAGGCUGUCAUUCAGCAUUCAUCAGUUUUUAUCAUGCUCAAACCAGAAAGAACUAUGCAUCUGGGAGGGACUAACAUGAUCAUUUUUGAUGUGGCGUACAAAGCUAAAAUAGGGAGCUCUAGGGAUCAGAAUUUUUGUUAUGCAUGAUCUGAUCCUGGAGAUUUUGCAAUGAGAAGAAAUGAGUAAUCAGAUAUAUUUUUUUGAUUAUAGAAUAUUUUCAAAUUUGAUGUUGUUUUUAAGGCAAGAAAUGGACCAGAUAGCCUUGACGGUCUCUGCUUUUCAGAUAGGUUUCUUGAUCUCUGUUCACUAAUUACAAAAGAUUAGGAUGUUGUUGCUAGAGAUUAUUAGACAAAUGUCAAUGGUAGCAAUAUAUGUGCAACAAUAUAAGCCUUACUGACGAAGAGAAUAUUGAGGUGGGAGGGCUCUUCUCUUUUUUGGUAGGUGCUGGAUUGUGAAAGAGAGAACACAUAACUUUUUAAGGGACAGGAGAGGAUUGCUCUAAGGACUUUAUUAUAAACUAAUGUUUUGACUGAGGUGGAUCCUUUUCUUGAGAAAAGAUCCAAAAUCAGAAAGCUCCAUGAAAAGUCCAAGCAUUUCCAUGGCUUUCUUGACUUGCUAUGGUUCUUACAUGUCACAUCAUCAAAUAAGAGAAAAUGAGGCCAGAACCGAUUCUUACUAUACCAUGAUUUGGACAAAUAACUUUUCCAUUUAUCUUUUAUUGGAUCACUUUGAGGUAUAUUACCUUCAACACAACCAUCAAACCCUUUAUAACAAUCUUGGCAUGGCUCUAUCAAUGCUUAUUCAUGAAUCUUUUCUAUUAAAUACUACCUUUUAUAUUACUGUGGCCUUCUCUAUCAAUGCUUAUUACAGAUUCAAACAACUCUCCUCACCACAUGUCUUAAUAUUUUCACGCGUGUUUAUGGCAUCUAUAUUGGUUUUUCUUUACUUUGUCCUCAUCUGAGGCAACUCCUAUGUUGUGAUAAAUUGCCUUUGAGAUUUUUCUUCUAAAGGUGGGAGAGUAGUUCGUACUUGUAAGACUGCAAGUUAUGCGGUUUCAGGAUGGAAUCCAGGGUAUGAAUCUUUCACUUGCUAUUGGUGAUGGGUUUUGAAGUGUAGAAAUAAAAUAUUUUACCAAAAAUUUGUAUUGGACAUGGAUCAAAUUUUGUGGUUUGUCUUCACAGAUGUUUGUGACUGGUUAGAUUAUGCUAUGUAUAUCUUCUUGGAGGAUUAGCUGGAAGCAGCUGUAUUUGAUGAUUCUAUCCUUUUCAUCUAGAUUUUACUUUCAACUAUCUUUUAUUAUUAUUAGCUGAUCAACUAUUUUGGGAUUUCUUCUUUCUGAUUUUGUUGUACCUGUAUUUAUUUUCCUGGUACUAGCUAUAUAUGCAUAUAUUUCUUCAAAAGAAAAAGAAUUCAGGUCAAAUUUAAAUUUCUUAAAUUUUGAUAAUUGUUGAGCUAUAUCAGAAAGUUCUUAAUGUUUAAUUAGAUUAAUUAGAAUUCAACAAGGAGGUUGUGUUACUUGAUGAUUGGAGCAACCUGUCUGCUAGGACUUGUUCAUGAUGUUAGUUGUCUUGCAGAAUUUGUGAAAUAUAUGCAUCAACAGUUUUUCUUUAUCAAGAAUUUGCUUGAGCAUUUGGAUUUUCUUGGAAGUGUUAUUUCUGUAUUCAACUUGAUUCAUGGAUGAUAAAUCCAAGAUUUUUAAUGAAACUGGUUUCAUAUGAACAAAAGCAGCGUUCUAGAAGCUGUGUAUUGUGAAAGUUCAAUACUUUUCUUUUCCUUUUAACUUACAGUUUUGUAACAUAAGAUUCUGCAAAGUUGGUUUAAUUAAUUGGAUAGUGACUUUUUCCUCAUUAGAUGGUUCAUUUGGAUGCCUAAUGAGAUGUUUACUUCCUAUGCCCUUUGUGGACAUGCCGAAUUCCAUAUUAUUAGCCUCUCUCUCUCUCUCUCUCUGUCUGAGGAAAGGUGCUGAGGCCCCAAAACUAAGCCCUGCAAUGACAAAAGCCAGUAGCAUCAGGAUGAGCUAAACCCAUGGUAUCAGACAGGAAAGGAGUCCAUGCAGUUACUCCAUCAUGCCACAAACUAAAGUCUGCAAAGCAGUCAGCAACAUUAUGUUAGUUUGAGACUUCGGUACACUCCCUUUUAAGUUGGCUUAAAAGAAUCACUCACUAUAUGUACAAGAAUGUCACUCACAGAAAAAGGUUUCAUUUCAUUUACCAUAUUCUUUAGCUUUUGCUAUGACAUCCUACAUAAAUGAUUUCCAUUUCUUCCAUUUUUUUUAAUGGCUCCUAAGACGUCCCCUGCACAAAAGAAAUUUGAUCUUAAUUAAUUUUCUUGUUACAAAAAUCUGUAGAUAUGAAAUAGCCCCUCUACUUCUCUUGGGGUUGGGUAGAUCAUUACUGGCUUAUGAUUGAAAAAUGAGUAUGUGGAGCAAAACCACUUCAAAUGAGAAAAGCCCACUACAGCAGUUACUCUAACUAGACCACAUAUGCUUGACAAUAAAACUUUUUUUGAAAUAGUCCCAAGAAGUUGUUGGAUAUUAGAGAGGCCAAACAGUGUCCUUUUGAACUAUGCCAAACAACUGCCUAGUCCCUACUUAAGCAAUGAAAGACACCUUGAUUUUCUGUAAAGGAUUCCUUGUGGAAGACUUGACAAAAAGUUCAAUGAAGGGAUUUUCAAGCCUAACUUGUGCAAAAACACCCUGUAGAAGGCUUACUCAUCUCAACAACUUGAGGGCUUCUUUCAAGGCCAGCUUGAGCAGCAACUCCUAAAUCUGUUCCAUAUAUGCAUAUACAAAAGAUAAUGGUCAUAGCAGCUACAGUAACAUCUGCUGGCCAAUCAAGGUCUUUUCUAACUAAUGCAAAAAAUUUAUCCUCUGUGCUUCUAUUCCUUGGCCAUGGACCAUAUGAAACACUAAUAUUUAACUGCUUAUAAGUGGAAACAUAUGCGGUCACCUCCAUCUAAACCUUAAUGGAUAUAGUUAUCUUUAAGCACAGCAUUCAUUCACAUGUAGUUAUAUAGAAGUCCACAUUAUAAUAUUUAAAAUAGAAUUUGGGUCUUCAUUCUACUAUUAGGGAUCCUCACAAAAUUAUGAGCUAGUAGAUAAUAGAUGAUUUUGGUCAGUAAUAGUGCUUCAUCGGAAAGGUACAGGAUCGAAAAUUAUCAAGUCUAAUGUACUUCUGCUGAAGUUAAGCUCUAUUACUUAUGCAGUCAAUUGAAGAACAUGCCAAGUAACAUUGAUAAUCUCAAUGUUUCAAGAAGUCAUUAAAUUCUUAGAAAUGUGAAAGAAAAUUUCCCUCGUAAGGGGAAGGGUGGAUGAUCCUCUUGUUUAGUCUACAUAUCAAGCCGUAAACUUCUCAUUGCUAAUUUUGUAUCUUCUGAUGACUCUUCAUGUUUUGUUCUGGUUAAUUAAAAGAUCACCAAAAAAUAUUGUUAGUGAUGGUAUGUCCUUUCUGGUAUUCUACCUUUGUCUGUGCUUUUUACCUACCACAUUCAAGUCUAAAUAUAACUGCAAUGUUUUAUUUUCUGGUUUUGCUGCUAUCUUAUCUUUUGCCUUUUUAGUAAUGAGAUUCAAGAUGACAAUUUUGCGAACAUCUGUCACAGCAUCUUAUUCAACGAAGCAUUUACUGUUGUCCUCUCAUUUAUCAAUUUAGGUUUUGAUAUCAAGCCUUUGAACUCCAUUUAAUAUGCACAGCAUCUAGCUUUCUGUCAUUAAGAUGCGUGUUCCAAAUGAAUUUUAUGUAGAAUUAGUAGAAAAAACUGGGAUGCCACACUAGUUCUCUUAGGUAACUGCCUUCAGUAGCUUAAAGCUAAAGGGAUUAAAUAUUAGCAUUAAUACUUUCAUAAACUCUUUCUGUUGUCAAUAACUUUGUUAGGCCUAGUGCACAAAGUGUUAACUAGUUUUCUAUUGAUAUAGUGUUAAACAUCUGCGUUGUUCAAUUUCUUUAAAGGAAUCUGUGUUGCCAUACAGGAAAUUGAGGUGACUGCUAGCCAAAGCUGCUGCAUUAGUUUCUGUUCUUUCAGAAGUGCCUUGUUAUUCAUCUUAAUUUACUUUUAAUUCUGGGAAGUCUGCCAGUAAAAGUUUAUAGGCCUGAAUGUAUGUUUACAAUGUAAAACAUGAAUAUGUUGUAUAACCUUGUCCACCUUGUGUAGGACUCCUACAGAGUCAUUUCUUUAUAUUUUGGAUGCAACCCUUUUUAGUCAGUGGCUUCAUUUUAUAUCAAAGCAUCUGGGCCUUUCACCUUGACAAGGUAUUGGAGCUUGAAUCAUGGCUGGAAGUUUUCGCUGCAGAUUCAUCACUCUGCAACUCAACAGUAUUCCAGAUUUGUUAAAUCUUCACCAAAAGAGGUCCCUCUGCGACCUUGAUUGGAGUUUGGUGCAGGUUUCCGAGGUUCUUUUUCAUAGCAAUUGCUACAGGCCUUCAAGCCUCAAGGAGGUCGCAGUUACUAAAUGAUAGAUAUUAUGGACAAGGACAGGUUGAGCAACUACUUUGAUAGUUCAGUGGUUUAACAUUAGGAGUUUUUUUGGGUAAGAUGGGAGGAUCAGAAUAUGACAAAUUUUGUCCUGUUAGCUCUGGUUCUGAGAAGCAAUAAUUACAUUUCUUGAUUAAUAUCCAAGAUCAUCUACAUCAUAACACAAGGAGCAUAGACCUAUAACAAUUAUACAAUCACUUAUGGGAAAGAGUAGCCAAAGGCGGCACAAGGCUGAUGAGGUGCUUGAUAUAGACAAGGCUAACAAUAUGGUAAAUUGGAGGUGAUGAUUUGGUGGAAAAGACAAUUGAGACAACUGCACUUCCAUUUGGAGUAUAAGAGGUGGAUGAUGCCCUAUAUCAUUUUGAUCUCUUCUUUUGUCGUCGAUAUCUGAUUCGAAAGAUUGAAUGCCCAUGGGACUACAGGUGUCAUUUAAUCUCUAUCUGCAUCUAUUACAUAUUCAGGUGCUUAGGGGUGACUCAGACUUUAAGGUGAAGAUUGUCUGAGGAGGUGGUAAAUACAUGCUGAGUGCAACUUAUGUUAUUAAGGUUUUAUCAGUAGAUGUAGCCCAAAUAACUAACCCAAAAAUCUAUUCAUUGGUUCAGCUACUUUGCAUC